GGUCGCGUGGCCCAACGGAUAAGGCGCCUGACUACGAAUCAGGAGAUUCCAGGUUCGAAUCCUGGCGUGAUCG